rnacentral:tRNA from 4 species
GCCCACGUAGCUCAGUCGGCAGAGCAUUUGCAUGGUAAGCAAAAGGUCACCAGUUCGAUUCUGGUCGUGGGCU